CAGCACCUCAAGUGGUCAGGAUGAUUAUUGGGCCUAAAGCAUCCGUAGCCGGCUCUGUAAGUUUUCGGUUAAAUCUGUAUGCUCAACAUACAGGCUACCGGGAAUACUGCAGAGCUAGGGAGUGGGAGAGGUAGACGGUACUCGGUAGGAAGGGGUAAAAUCCUUUGAUCUAUUGAUGACCACCUGUGGCGAAGGCGGUCUACCAGAACACGUCCGACGGUGAGGGAUGAAAGCUGGGGGAGCAAACCGGAUUAGAUACCCGAGUAGUCC
rnacentral:rRNA from 1 species